rnacentral:rRNA from 1 species
GUGACAUUGUUCAACGGCCGCGGUAUCCUAACCGUGCGAAGGUAGCGUAAUCACUUGUCCUUUAAAUGAAGACUAGUAUGAAUGGCCCCACGAAAGCUAUACUGUCUCCUUUUUCUAAUCAGUUAAACUAAUCUCCCCGUGAAGAAGCGGGGAUAAACAUAUAAGACGAGAAGACCCUAUGGAGCUUUAAACAACUGAAACACUUGUAUAUCUCCCUUCACCCACCCACAUUUAACUCCACAUCUUGUUUCUAGUUUUAGGUUGGGGUGACCACGGAGAAAAAACUAACCUCCACGAUGAAAGAGACAUCUCUAAACAAAAAGCUACAUCUUUAUGUAUUAAUACAUUAACCUUUAUUGACCCA